rnacentral:rRNA from 1 species
CCAACAGGGAUUGCCCUAGUAACGGCGAGUGAAGCGGCAACAGCUCAAAUUUGAAAUCUGGCCCUAGGCCCGAGUUGUAAUUUGCAGAGGAUGCUUCGGGCGCGGUGCCUUCCAAGUCCCCUGGAACGGGGCGCCGGAGAGGGUGAGAGCCCCGUACGGUUGGCGGCCAAGCCUGUGUGAAGCUCCUUCGACGAGUCGAGUAGUUUGGGAAUGCUGCUCUAAGCGGGAGGUAGACCCCUUCUAAAGCUAAAUAUAGGCCAGAGACCGAUAGCGCACAAGUAGAGUGAUCGAAAGAUGAAAAGCACUUUGAAAAGAGGGUUAAAUAGCACGUGAAAUUGUUGAAAGGGAAGCGCUUGUGACCAGACGUGCGCCGGGGUGUUCAGCGGGCGUUCUCGCCCGUGCACUCGCCUCGGCGCAGGCCAGCGUCGGUUCGAGUGGGAGGAUAAAGGCGUCUGGAAUGUGGCUCCUCCGGGAGUGUUAUAGCCAGACGUGCCAUGCUCCCGCCCGGACCGAGGUACGCGUUCUGCAAGGACGCUGGCGUAAUGGUCUCCAGCGACCCGUCUUGAAACACGGACCAAGGAGUCGAGGUUUUGCGCGAGUGUUUGGGUGUUAAACCCGCACGCGUAAUGAAAGUGAACGUAGGUGGGAGCUUCGGCGCACCACCGACCGAUCCUGAUGUUUUCGGAUGGAUUUGAGUAAGAGCGUAGGGCCUCGGACCCGAAAGAUGGUGAACUAUGCUUGGAUAGGGUGAAGCCAGAGGAAACUCUGGUGGAGGCUCGCAGCGGUUCUGACGUGCAAAUCGAUCGUCAAAUCUGAGCAUGGGGGGCGAAAGACUAAUCGAACCAU